rnacentral:lncRNA from 7 species
CUGGUCCGGAGGAGAUGUUGUGUCCCUACACUCUUUGUCUCCCAUGAAGAAUGUGGGAUUGGGGCCCUUGCAGGGCCAUGACACUGAGACAGGAAGAGCAGCGUGAAGGGCCAUGGGGCUGGCCCAGCACUGCAGCUGUGUGCUGCAGUGCUCAGAGCCCAAGGACCCCUUUUCCCCUCUGUGGACAUCGCAACCUGCCUGGAACAGAUCCUAAUGUCUCUUCCUUCUCCCCACACAUCUUUUUCAGAGGAGAUCCAGGCACGAGGAAGAUCAAGGGUGGAUGCAGAGAUAGGGACCCUGAAGAAGGAGAUUGAGGAGCUCCGUGCAAAGAAUGGAAUUCUGGAGAAGGAGAACGGUGAGUGGACAGUACCAUGGCAAGCGUCCCUUCCACCAAUAUGCAGGUUUAUUUGUCAUGGUGUUGUGCUGGUGGUGAGACGUGUGUGUAGGAGUGUUUGGAAGGCUGAGAGUGCAGGAGGGGCUGUGGAGGGAAGACAGAGCUGGGGAGCUUGGAGAUGGGAGCCUGGGCCCUGAUCAGCCCUUUAUGCUGCUGGGGAAGUGGAGACUGGUUUUGAUGGCAGUGAUCCAAGCCAGGUGGUGGGGGACGUGUGUGUCAGUAUGUCAGGGCAUGAAGCAAAGUCUACCCAGAGAUGCCUUUUUCUAAGGCAUGGGUGGGAAGUCCCCGUGGGCUGUGGCCUGGGACCCGUGUUUCUUGGGCCUGACUUGUUGUCUUCUUUUGUGGUGGCUGUGGUGACUGUGCAGAGGAGCUCCGUGCCAAGUAUGGUGAGUUGCUGUGCUUGCCCACAAGCAUUCCCGAUGGGGGUAAGGCCUUGGGGAUGGUGAGGGGGGCUAUUCCAGCCAUGACAGUGUUCCAAGUCAGCCUUUUGAGUAUGCCUGCAUGUUAUUGCCUCUUCCGUCUUUCUGAGUGCUGGUUCGGAGGAGAUGUUGUGUCCCUACACUCCUCGUCUCCCAUGAAGAAUGUGGGAUUAGGGCCGUUGCAGUGCCAUGUCACUGAGACAGGAAGAGCAGCGUGAAGGGCCAUGGGGCUGGCCCAGCACUGCAGCUGUGUGCUGCAGUGCUCAGAGCCCAAGGACCCCUUUUCCCCUCUGUGGACAUCGCAACCUGCCUGGAACAGAUCCUAAUGUCUCUUCCUUCUCCCACACAUCUUUUCAGAGGAGAUCCAGGCACGAGGAAGAUCAAGGGUGGAUGCAGAGAUAGGUGAGUGCAUGCACAGCAGUGCCCCAGUGCUUCUUUGCAUGCUUGUUUUCCAGCAUGAUGAAGGUGUUGGUGUAGUGUGCGUGUGCCUUGUUGAAGGCAUCCUGCACUUUUUCCCAAAUCUUUCUGGAGGAUGAUCUGUUAAUCCUUUUAAAAAUCUGUUCUCCUUUUUUCUCCCAUUUCUUCUUGCAGGGACCCUGAAGAAGGAGAUUGGUGAGUGGAGCUGUCUGACUGCUGGCCAGCCACGCCACAGCUAGGCAGGCCGUUGGGAUGUGCGGUUCUGUUGGAGGCUGUAAUGAGUUUGGUGGAGACUUUGGAGCAGAUGAGAGUGUAACAAGGGCUGCUCAGGGAAGACAGAGAUGAGGUGGCUGGAUGGAGUGCCUGGGCCUUGAUUAUUCCUGUGUGCUGCUGGGGAAGUGGUGGGUGGGUCAGGAGGCGGUGAUCC